UACGUAGGGGGCAAGCGUUGUCCGGAUUUAUUGGGCGUAAAGAGCGUGUAGGCGGCCAUUCAGGUCAGCUGUGAAAACUCGAGGCUCAACCUCGAGACGUCGGUUGAAACCGUUUGGCUAGAGUCCGGAAGAGGAGAGUGGAAUUCCCGGUGUAGCGGCGAAAUGCGCAGAUAUCGGGAAGAACACCCGUGGCGAAGGCGGCUCUCUGGGACGGUACUGACGCUGAGACGCGAAAGCGUGGGGAGCGAACAGG
rnacentral:rRNA from 1 species